rnacentral:tRNA from 1 species
UCCUAGCUGGCUCAGUAGGUAAAGAAUCUGCCUGCAAUGCAGGAGUCUUAGAUUCGAUCCCUGGGUAGGGAA